UUCCACCCCCGUGACCCCCUGGCGUCCUCUCCACCACCGCAGCCCAACUGCUACGCCAAGGUGAUCACCAUCGAGGCGCAGAAGAAGAUCGUCAUCUACUCGAAGCAGCCCAUCGGGGUCAACGAGGAGAUCACCUACGACUACAAGUUCCCCAUCGAGGACACCAAAAUCCCCUGCCUGUGCCGCACCGAGAGCUGCCGCGGCACGCUCAACUAGGCCACCGCGUGGUGGGCCCGGUGGUGGGCCUGGUGGUGGGCCUGGUGGUGGGCCUUCUGGUGGGCCUGGUGGUGGGCCUUCUGGUGGGCGAGGAGGCAGCGGCGUUGGGGAGAAGUCAACGUGGUUGGCAAGAGGUCAACGUGGUUGGCAAGAGGUCGUCGUGGUCAUCACCAUGGUCAUCACCAUGGUUGGCAAGAGGUCAUCGUUGUUGGUGUUGGGUCAUCGGUGUUGGCAAGAGGUCAUCGUGGUCAUCACCAUGGUUGGCAAGAGGUCAACGAUGUUGGUGAGAAGUCAACGUGGUUGGCAAGAGGUCAUCACCAUGGUUGGCAAGAGGUCAACGCAGUUGGCAAGAGGUCAUCGUGGUUGGUGUUGGGUCAUCGUGGUUGGUGUGAGGUCAUCGUGGUGA
rnacentral:lncRNA from 1 species